rnacentral:rRNA from 1 species
UACGUAGGGGGGCUAGCGUUGUCCGGAUUUAUUGGGCGUAAAGAGCGUGUAGGCGGCCUGGCAGGUCCGUUGUGAAAACCCGAGGCUCAACCUCGAGACGUCGGUUGAAACCGUUUGGCUAGAGUCCGGAAGAGGAGAGUGGAAUUCCCGGUGUAGCGGUGAAAUGCGCAGAUAUCGGGAAGAACACCCGUGGCGAAGGCGGCUCUCUGGGACGGUACUGACGCUGAGACGCGAAAGCGUGGGGAGCGAACAGG